rnacentral:lncRNA from 1 species
CCGAGAAGCUCGUCUUGACAAGCGAGAAGCGGAACGAAAACAGGUGAAAUUGAGAAAGAUGUGGAGAAGGCAAGAAAGAAGAAAGAAAUGGAAAAUAUGUCAACUUAGGAGGAAAUUGAAGAUGACAGAGGCGAGGGAGAAAGAAGUGAAAAAGAAGAAGAACUAAAAAGAAGAGAAGAAGAGGAAUAAGGAAAAGAGAAACAGAGUGAAGAGAAACAAAGAGAAGGGGAUAGUAAAGAAAAAGAAAUAGGUAAAGUUUCUCCUUCUGCACCUUCAGCCGAAG